rnacentral:rRNA from 1 species
GGCAAUUGUCGUUGCGGUUCACGGGGCGCGGCGUUCCCACUGGUGACUCUGGAUAACUUUGUGCGGAUCGCAUGGCCUUACGUGCCGGCGAACUAUCUUUCAAAUGUCUGCCCUAUCAAAUGUCGAUGGUACGUUGCAUGCCUACCAUGUUUGUAACGACCCACGGGGAAUCAGGGUUCGAUCCCGGAGUUUGAGCAUGAGAAACGGCUACCACAUCCAAGGACAUCAGGCGCUCAAGUUUUC